GAUGAACGCUGGCGGCGUGCCUAAUACAUGCCAGUCGAGCGAACAGACGAGAGUGCUUGCACUCUCUGACGUUAGCGGCGGACGGGUGAGUAACACGUGGGUAACCUACCUAUAAGACUGGGAUAACUUCGGGAAACCGGAGCUAAUACCGGAUAAUAUUUAGCUUCGCAUGAAGCAAUAGUGAAAGACGGUUCUGCUGUCACUUAUAGAUGGACCCGCGGUGUAUUAGCUAGUUGGUGAGGUAACGGCUCACCAAGGCAACGAUACAUAGCCGACCUGAGAGGGUGAUCGGCCACACUGGGACUGAGACACGGCCCAGACUCCUACGGGAGGCAGCAGUAGGGAAUCUUCCGCAAUGGACGAAAGUCUGACGGAGCAAUGCCGCGUGAGUGAAGAAGGUUUUCGGAUCGUAAAACUCUGUUGUAAGGGAAGAACAAGUACGUUAGUAACUGAACGUACCUUGACGGUACCUUACCAGAAAGCCACGGCUAACUACGUG
rnacentral:rRNA from 1 species